GUCUGCGAAGAAUUAGCUCCUCACGCAGGGGCAGAGAAGAGAACAGCUCCUCAUUUUACACAGAGAAACUCCAAUGUACUCCUUUAAAUUGCGCUGCUUUUCACAACGUCUCUUUGUAGAAGAAUUAGAGUAUGUGAAAACUGAAGUUUCUACUCAAACAAAAAAUGAUAACUAAUACAAUCAUGUCAAACCUGUUACUUUUUAUUUUUUCAUUACACAUUUAACAGAUAAAUCAUUUGUAUGUUUUUCCGUUGAAAAGAGUUUAGAGUGCUGCUGAGUUUAUAUUUCUGCUCUUGAGAUGAUGGCGGGAAAUUUUCCAAACAUUUAGCCUUCUAAAGGUGAAAUAACUUAAUGGAAUUUAUGUAGUUUCCUUAAAACAAACCAUUCCUUACAAUUUCCAUAUCAAAGCACUACUGAUCCCGGUAUAAAUGUUCACGGGACCUGCAAACAUGUUUGCUGUAAUAACUUAAAUUUGAGUUUCCUUGAUGAAGAAAUGUCAAAAAGCAUUAAAAGAUCCCAGAGAGAUCAUAUGCUUCUCAUCCCUGUUUUUGAUCUAAAAUAUUCAUUAAUCA